rnacentral:rRNA from 1 species
GUGCCAGCCGCCGCGGUAAUACAGAGGUGGCGAGCGUUGUUCGGAUUUACUGGGCGUAAAGGGUGCGUAGGCGGUUAAGUAAGUUGGAUGUGAAAGCCCAUGGCCCAACCAUGGAACUGCAUUUGAUACUGCUUGACUAGAGUGCAGGAGGGGAGAGCGGAAUUCUUGGUGUAGCGGUGAAAUGCGUUGAUAUCAAGAAGAACACCGGUGGCGAAGGCGGCUCUCUGGAAUGUUACUGACGCUGAGGCACGAAAGCUGGGGGAGCAAACAGGAUUAGAAACCCCCGUAGUCC